CUCUCACACCCCAGAGGGAGCAUUGCCCUGCUGAUGUCUUGGGAAUGUGGCGGCUCUGUGUUUGGAAUCAUCCAGGGCACUGCGAUGUGCUACCUCCACCCCCCAUGGCUACCACACCAAACCAGGAAAGGCUGCUUGACACUGGAGUGUUUGCCGAAACCACCUCUGGUACCUGCCUUUAUUCCACGGACCACCUGUUGGCUGCCUGCAGGAACUGCCCUCCUGGAAGCCAGAAUGAGAAGGAGUGCAAAAGAGCAAGAGAGGUCUGUGUGCGUCCACGGCAGGGGCACCAGGGAGGUGCUGGACUGGGCUGAAAGAGUGCUGAGAAUUUGUUGGCUCAUCCUUUGAAAACCUUUGAAAAUUGCCCUAAAGGAAUGAGAGCGGUGCCUCCCCCUUGUGGUUGGCCGAUCAAGUUUAUGUAUAUCAGACCCUUGUGAAUAGUGUUAGAGCCCGUGGUGCUCGGCAUGUGUUCCCUAGCUGGCAGCUCCACCUCAGCAAUUCCACUUUGUUAAAUAUCCGAAGGAAAUGACUAAGUGUUCACAGCAUUUGUAUGACAGGGUAAGAAUUGGAAACAACCUAAAUUUCCAACAAUAGGGGGGAUAGGCUAUGAUUCAUUCAAGGGAUGAAAUAGAAUGCUAUCAUAUCAUUCCAAGACAAAAAAAUUUCAUGAU
ensembl:lncRNA